CAUCGGAGGGGCAGGUCCUACUAGACUGGGUUACACCAGGCAGAGUCCAGGGCUGCCCUGUCUUCCCCCCUGUACCCAGGGGUGCCCAAGGAAGAAAGGAACUGCCACAUGGCCUCUAGCGCUCGAAUUUCGGUACUGCUGUACAUACAGAAGGCUCUCCUGACACAGCAGCGGGGACAGAAAAAAAAGUUUUAAAUCCACAAGAUCAGAUGCAACGGAACAGGCGUCCCAGGAGGGGAUGGUGGCAUGCAGGAGCAGCAGAGGGACAGUUGGCCAUGCACAGAGGAGAAGGUGGUGUGAAGACAGAGCAGAGAUGGCUGAAGGCCCUGGCCUUGGAAUGAUGUGGCCACAAGCCAAUGGGAGCUAGCUGCGACUGGAAGCCAGAAGAGGCAAGGAACAGAUUCUCUCCAAUUUGGGCCUCGCAAUACUGAUUUCAGACUUCAGACCCGCAGAAUGACAGCGCCUGCCACCCAGCGCCUCACUGUGAGUCACAGGCACUCUGGGAAGCUUCACGUGGAAUCUGAGAACUUGGAGAACUUGGAGAAGGAUGGUUGUGGCAUGGAGAGCGAACAUGGGCCUCCCCACGUUCCCGAAGACCACGGAGGCCUCGCAGAGCCGAGAUCCGGUGCUGUCAGCCCUUACCUGCUGGCCCGGUGACAGCACAGCACACCAUAGGGCCUGGUCACGUGUCAGUGACCAUGUACUGGUGGCCAGGUCCUCAGCUGUGUCUGCACACAGAAGAAAAUCCAG